AGUAAUACUUAGGAAUCUACCUAGUAGUGGGGGAUAGCUCGGGGAAACUCGAAUUAAUACCGCAUACGACCUACGGGAGAAAGGGGGCAACUUGUUGCUCUCGCUAUUAGAUGAGCCUAAGUCGGAUUAGCUAGAUGGUGGGGUAAAGGCCUACCAUGGCGACGAUCUGUAGCUGGUCUGAGAGGAUGAUCAGCCACACCGGGACUGAGACACGGCCCGGACUCCUACGGGAGGCAGCAGUGGGGAAUAUUGGACAAUGGGGGCAACCCUGAUCCAGCCAUGCCGCGUGUGUGAAGAAGGCCUUUUGGUUGUAAAGCACUUUAAGCAGUGAAGAAGACUCCAUGGUUAAUACCCAUGGACGAUGACAUUAGCUGCAGAAUAAGCACCGGCUAACUCUGUGCCAGCAGCCGCGGUAAUACAGAGGGUGCAAGCGUUAAUCGGAAUUACUGGGCGUAAAGCGAGCGUAGGUGGCUUGAUAAGUCAGAUGUGAAAGCCCCGGGCUUAACCUGGGAACGGCAUCUGAUACUGUUAGGCUAGAGUAGGUGAGAGGAAGGUAGAAUUCCAGGUGUAGCGGUGAAAUGCGUAGAGAUCUGGAGGAAUACCGAUGGCGAAGGCAGCCUUCUGGCAUCAUACUGACACUGA
rnacentral:rRNA from 1 species